rnacentral:sRNA from 1 species
CGGUUUCGAUUUGCUGCGGGCUUAUAAAAUGGAUAUGGGCAUCAAUGCCGCCAGCCGUUACAAUCAUGCCUUCUCCAGCAAUGACUUCCGUUGAAGCCCCAAUGAUCAUAUCUACCCCUUCCAUUAAAAGAGGAUUUCCACUUUUUCCAAUCCCAGCGAUUCGGCCAUCACGAAUUCCAAUGUCCGCCUUAUAAAUCCCACUAUAAUCUAGAAUAAUCGCAUUGGUUAUGACAGCAUCAAGUGCCCCAUCUACUCGUGUAGCAAGCGGAUGCUGUCCCAUCCCAUCACGG